rnacentral:lncRNA from 1 species
CUCCCGGGUUCAAACUCCGCACGUAGAAAAAAAAAAAAAAACAGUUUGAAUGGGUUUAAAACGUCGUAUUGUGUGUCUAACGAUUUUUGCUCUGUUGUGUGUGUGAUCGGUAUUCGUCGAAUGUAGAAUUUCUUAGCUUCUUCUGUUAAAUGACGUCGAAGAAACAAGUUGACAGUUGAAAACGAAUCGAUUUGCACGUACUUGUCAACUCUAUUUGCGAUCGAGGAAAAAUUGCGCUUGUUGUACAAUGCUCAAUCUACUCUGAAAUAUCUGCAUUUGAUAUCGAGUUAGGUGACAAAAUGUAUAUAAUUUUAGCGCUUUAAGUAUAUGGUAUGUGUACACACACACCUCUACUUCUUUCUGAUAUGGAAAGAUUGAUGGUUGGGUUGUUUCGAUUUCUCUGCAUCUGUCUGAAUAAUCUGCUUCUCUCUCUCUCUCUCUCUUCUUUUGUUACCAAAAUGGUAAUAGAUUUAGCAAUUAUAGUUUUAUGCCUCUGGGAGCCAAUUUCCCACAUGAUGGAGGGAAGUUUUAAGAAAGAUGUUCAUGGGUUUAGAUAAUGGAUAUGUAGAUAUCUGGCAGAAGGCUGUUUAUGGACAGAGCACGUGUCUAUUGUUGUCACCCGCCAGUCAUUUUCAGGACAGGCUGUUGACCCCCGUCCCCCUCUUUGUCCGGCAGCGGGCUCUCCCUAUAGAGGUUUCGAGUGGAGGGAUCGUAGAUAUGCUACACAUCGAGUACUCUUCUGUGCGAAUCUCUCAAAUGGACGCGUACGGGCCACGACCUAGCUGAGUGGGGUCAAAGGGUCGAAUCCAUUGUGACGACGUAGGUGUCCGACAAUGGGGACCACGUGCCUCGUUUCAUUCACGAUCCGGAUCCAUUCUCCACGCCGCCGACCGACCCAAACACGUCAAAGAGUUUGCAUAUAUAACGCAAGUAUACCGCGUAUAUGUUCCACAAAAAUUGCAUUCCUGAACAAGGUGGACCGACCCAUUUAACAAUAAAUAAUAGUAAUACGGCAAAGUAAAACAGUCUAUUUAACGUGAUACGCUUUAUUUUCCCUCAUCACGGAUAAUUAUCCUCAUAUGAAGUCAAACAAUCGUUAACUUGGAGAAACCAGAUGAAUAGCUUCAUCAUCAUCAUCUGCUCCGACGAUUAUCCUGAAUAAAAUGUUAUUUCGUGAUCAAAAAAUUCGCAAAUAUUCCAUUCAUUAGCAAGAAGAGAAGUAAAAUGUAGGUUAUAGUUAUUAUUUUAAUCUUAUUAAAGUGCAUUCCGAAUUCUUAAAAUGCCAUCGCGUGUCUCUCUCUCUCUCUCUAUUUCUUCUCUACCAAUCUCUUCUAUAGUACUCUCUGCAAAAUCUUUUUACUCCUAACACCUCUAACAAUCUAGAGUUAUAAAAAGAAAAAAAGAACUUCCAGUCAUAAAUCUCUAGUCGGUACACUUUUCUAUGUAUGACACUUUCAUGACCUUGUUUCUGCUUUCUGACGGUAUUUAGAAGAGAGAUUAUCAUCUUCAUCUGUUAGACACAUCGCGUGUAGACGAUUCUAAAACGAAUUUUAUUAAAAGAAAGUCUCCUAUUUUUUUUAAUCGUUUCCACC